rnacentral:lncRNA from 1 species
UUGAUCCGGCUGGAAUUGCAAAUUGGUCCGUCACACAUGUUGAUUGGUCUGAAGGAAAGUGGCACCCAAAAGCAUAUCGGUCACAGGAUGUUACCUUUGAGCUAAUGAGAAAUAUUACAGUGCGUCUCCACUCUUCCCAAACUUUAUAUCGUUUGAAUUUAUAGCUUCCACUUUUUUCCCUUGUUCUGAGAGUUCCAGUAUAUUUUUAGUUAUAACAUCUCAAAUUAUCUUAUAAUUAACUAUAAUUCAUCGAAAAUAUUGGUUCAAAUGAAUCUUGAUCUGGUAUUGUGGCCACAAUAUAUAGACUUGCAGAGAGCUAAAUGAUACUUUAUAUCUCAAAUUAUCUUAUAGUUAUUUAUGUCAUCAAAAAUUAUUGCUCCCUGUGAAUAUUGAUCUGGUGGCCUAAAUAUGUAGACCUGCAGGGAGCAGAAUGGUAGUUUAUUUGUGAGUUGACUACUGAAGCAGAUCUAACACUUCUCUUCAAUUGUUUUUGCAGUCUAUUGUAGAUAGUGUGCAUGUUACAAGCAACGAAAGGGUUAGUUCACCAUGGUGAAAAACUAUUCUUCGUUUUAAGUUAUGGUGUAUCGGGAUUCUAAAACUUGUUCAUUUUGUGCUGCAGAAGGAAAUUCAGAUUAGACCUUGCUUGUGGAAUGGAAAUCAACGUCCGUGUUACUUGUUUGCUAGGAAAUUCUUGCCUGAAACUCUUAAUAAUUUGAUGGCCCUUUUCUCCAACUAUACUUCUAUAUGAGUGGGGUUAUAGCUUCAGUGUUGAUUCUUUGGUCGAUUCAAGAGUUGCGCCAUUUCUCGUGGAGCUUCUUCUGCUGUUGUAAAGAGCAUUGUUUUAUAUAGAAUUGAGUGCUCCCCAAUAUGACUUCAUUUUUAGUACUAAUGCAAUUGGAAGAACACUGGAGAUUACUCCAAGCCGAGCUGAAGAUAAAGAACUUUGCUGCCAGUGUUGUUGAGGAUGAUUUUGGGUCUAAUUUCCCCCUCAAUUUUGUGGCUGUUUAAGUUUAUACCCCAAAAGGAAGGGAAAAAAAUAAAAAAUAAAAAAAAUGGUGGGAACAGGGGACUGACUGCAGCGCUGUAUGGUGGGUAAAAUCUUUGAAGAACUUGGCAGAAACAAUUUUUUUUUUCUUUUUCAUUUUUAUUGUGAAAAUAAUUUUUAAUUUCCUUUUUUUUUUCUUUGGAGUAGAAUUCCUGACGGUCGAAUUAUAGUAUUUGUAAAAAAUGUUUUACAUGUUUAUGACAUUUUGGAAGUCUUAAUUUGACUCCAAUUCUAGCAUGUUUGGUGCAGAGAAUUAUUGAAUGGAACUAAAUAGUAUUAAAUAUUAAUAAAGAGUGGCGUUACAUCUUUUAAGUCGCAAUAAAUACGCAUAACUGCAAUUUUAAUGCAAAACUGAAGUUUAUAAGGCAAGAAGAUGAGCCAUGAAAGGCAGCAUACACCAAGAAAACAAAAUUGAUGGACAUUCUCACUUUCAUUACAGCUGCAAUGCUCCUGUCUUCUUCCUCAGCCAUCCCGCUAGCUUCUUCCCCAGCCAUACCACCAGCUUCUUCCCCAGCCAUCCCAACUGCUGGUCCAGAUGAAAGAACACGACCUCUCAUCGCAUCUUGUGUAAUGCUCAUCUUCGAUCCGCCGCCAGAGCCUCAACCAAAGAUGAAGAUUCUUCGGUGUAGAGACCGUUUGCGUGCAAUUGCCCAUAUCUCCAAAAUAACUGGGAGAUUAUCACCUGCGUACGUUGAAGCCCUCGAAAAAGUCCCAAAAUUCAAGAAGAAUCCAAGUCUGUUGCGUAAUUAUCUUCGCAGUCUUGUCUGAAUAAGCUAAUGUCACUGUAGUUAUGAGGGUAAGAAUCAAAACAAACUCAAAUAUGAAUAAGAAUGGUAGUUUACUUUUGAAAUGAUACAUUUUCAGAUAUGCACCAUACUACAGUUUCUGUUACCUUUCGAACAAAACUGUAGAAACAUACGUAUUUGGAUGCAGUACUAGACACUAUAAAUGAUUAUUUUGUUUCUUUUUUCUUCUUUAAUACUGUCGAGUUUAACUGAAAGUGUUAAAUCCUUUUCUUUUCUGCUGGGGGCGGCAGGCAAGGAACAAAUAUAUCUUUUCCGUGAAUUUAUUGGCUAUAUGCAAGUAAAGGGUCCCAAUAUCUAAAUCCAAAAGAUAGAAAUAAUCUGAAGAAUUAGCUAAAUUUUAUCUAAGAAUUAAUCUGAAAAGAGUGAGUUGUGGUUAAUCUUUCGGUCUUCUCAAUAAGUUAUAUAAAUCGUUCAUCUUAAUGGUGUCAAAAUCUUUAAUGGGUUGAGAUUUAGAAUGCCAACCCCUAAAUUUUAAAGAUUUUAGAUUUAUAUAAAACCCUAUCAAAAGCUAAAUGCGAUAAUUUUAUUAGUUACUACGAGGAUUCAAAUGACAAUGGAACUACACAUUUUUAGCAGAUGUUCAUUUAAGACAAAAAUAAUAAUAAUAAUAAUAAUAAUAAUAAUAAUAAUUAUUAUUAUUAUUAUUAUUAUUAUUAUUAUUAAAAUAAAACUAAUUAUCAAUUUAUAAAAAUCUUAAAACAUGUAACAUACGCAUAUUUAUGAAACAUAUUUGGUAUAUUAGAUUGGGCAUGACAAAAUCAGAAAUUAUCGUACACCUUUUUUCCUUUAUCCCGUUUAGUUUGUUCAAUCCAACAUACCAAACAAGUCCUUGUAGUGCUGCUAUUACCAAAAAAUUAUCUAAUUAAUGUAUUUUCAUAUUUUACGUCCACAAUCACUGUACAAUGUCCAUAAAGAGCAAGUUUCAGGAGAGUACCUUCUUCAUUGAUUGCCUUAUAAAUCUCAAAACAUAUUUAUUCUGAUGGAAUCUACAAACCAUAUGGCUAUGAUCGUAGCAUGAUGAACCUGCAUGUGGAAAAUGGGGAAAAAUGUCAGAUUAGCUAAAUAUUCAUUCAAAUGUAAGAAACAGAAAAUACAAGGCUGAUUGCAUGAUCAGGUCAUCCGCCAGUUUCUCACAUACGUCCUAUUGUUGCAAGUGCAAAACCAAUUCAACCUAAAUCAUAUGAUUCGUAUACAAUCAAUAUUUGCAUCUGUCAGAUGGAGAAAGAAGUUUUUACAGACGACGGAUUGCUACUGAAGUUCUUACAGGCGACGGAUUGCUACUGCAGUUCUUUGACCAGCCAUCUGACAAUAAGUCUCAAAGCCAACCGCUAACCUGGCCUGUAGUGUUGUUCACUGAGAUUUAUGUUUGUGAAUGACAGAAUCAACCAGUCAAAACUAUAAUAUUUUAAGUCACUUUAUCCCGCACUACAUGUUAGGCUCAAAAUCAAAUAGCAUGAUUUUUCAAAAGAAAUUAUUCAGAUUUGAAGUUAUUAAUAUGUGGGUUGAUGCUUAUAAUCAAUCUUGAAAUGUAAUGUUCCUUGUGUAUUCAUGUUUACUGUAACAUCAUAUAAUGAAAAUUUAAUAUCAGAUAUGCAAAAUUAUGGUUGGAUCCUAAGUGGUUGGAUCAUAAGUGGUGUUGCUGUGCCUGGGAUUAACCAAGCAUUGACUCAGAUUAUAAAAUAAAGGGAUUUUUUUUUUUUUUGGAGACCAAAUCAAUUUAUUUUAUGCAUUUAAGUUUGGAAACAUGAACAUGUUCUUACGUUUACUUGACUCAUUGUAAGGUCGCUGAUUUUCCAUAAAAAAGUUUAUUAUUUUAAGUAUUUUUUAAUAUAUAAACCAGGCCUUGUUCACAUUAGAUUGUUUGUUUCAAAUUAUAAAAUUUUACUAUAGCUUCAGUAAUAUUCAUGUCAAGAAAUGGCUUUAGGUAACUCUCCGGGUUUAUAAUUAUUCGGGCAUUACAAAAUAUACACCUGUAAGGAUGUGGAUGAAAAAGUUUAUGCAUAUGUACACGCCCAUACGCAUUCUAGAUCAUUUGAUUAUUCAUAAAUAGCCUAAAGGAUAGACUAAUUAGUAAAAGAAUUAUCUCAGUGAUUUUAAGCCCACUAUUUGUCUAACAUUAUUCAAUGAAAAUGAAUUUGGAAUGGUGAAUUUUUGAAUAAUGUAUGAUUAAAAAAUAGGAAAAUAUUUUCGAUUUAUAUGCAAAACAUUUUAUUGUGUGAAUGUGUAGUUGAAAAGGAGUUUAAGAAAAAAUAAGAGUUUUGAAAUAAUGAUAGACAAACAAAGACUAAGUAGCAUGCAGAUGCCAAUUUUAGCCCAUGUUUGGCAUAAAUUAGAAUAUAAUUUUAAUCCCAAAUUAAAGUCAACGAUUAAUUUUAAUUAUAUAUUUCAUAAGAUUUAUAAUUUUUCAACUUUUAUAAAAAUUUAUUAAAAAUCUGAUUUCAUAGUUGUUUUUAUUUUUUAUUUUUUUCCACCUAAUUUAACGUGCCAAAAAUAUGGGACAAAAUAAGUAUAGAGUUUUGGUAGAUAAUGAUAAAACCUGUUUAUGCAUGGGACCAAGUCGGCUUUAGCCCAACCGCGGAUGUCAAGUAGCUGGACUUCAAAGUACCAACGGCAUACGACAUGGACAUGACAACAUAUCAGUUUCCUGAAUGUAGGACUAGACAGAUUGAUUAAAAUUUUCGAACAGCUCUCCUCAAUUGAAGGUGCACAUAAUGUUAGUGUAAAUAUAUAUAUUAAAGCUACAUUUUUAUGAUUUUCUAUUUUUAUGAAUUAAAACCUUUUUGGCUUUGGUUUCGAAUUGUGGGGUUGGAAUUUUUUGAACCGGAGGAAUCAAUAUUUAUUUUACCAAAUCCUUGACUUGUUUAGGACAUCUCCCUCCCAUGUCAGAAAUUAAAAUGAUUAAAAAAAUAUCAGAUGCACUAGGUGUUAUUGUAGACAAGUGCUAGAGAAGUGUCAAGUAAGUGUUUCAAAAAAUUAAAAAUGUAUAAUAAAAUAGGACACACCAUGUAGCCUAUGAGACGCUUGUCAUGGAGUGUACUGAGUGUCGAACACCAAAACUCCACCUUAGGAGGAUUCUAUGUGCCUCAGGUUUCUAUGUGCCUCAGGUUAUCUUUAUUUAUUUGUGUAGACAUGUAUAUGGCUUUGAAUAAAAAUCUAUGUUUUGAAAUUUGGCUGAUAGAUGAAAUUCUCGUUGAAACCACUGUUGACAUCAGUAUAUUUUGAUUAAACAGCCAGGCAUGGAAUAUGGAUGCAACUGCUAUUCUGAUGAACACUAUUUGCCAACAUUUUUCCAUGUGAGGAUUGUUUAUAUCUAAUUAUUUAUUGUAUAAUUUAGGACAUACCCACCCACUUCGGAUAAUUUAAAGGGAAUAUCUUUUCCUCAUUUCAGAUUCUUGAUCCGGCUGGAAUUGCAAAUUGGUCCGUCACACAUGUUGAUUGGUCUGAAGGAAAGUGGCACCCAAAAGCAUAUCGGUCACAGGAUGUUACCUUUGAGCUAAUGAGAAAUAUUACAGUGCGUCUCCACUCUUCCCAAACUUUAUAUCGUUUGAAUUUAUAGCUUCCACUUUUUUCCCUUGUUCUGAGAGUUCCAGUAUAUUUUUAGAUAUAACAUCUCAAAUUAUCAUAUAAUCAACUAUAAUUCAUCGAAAAUAUUGGUUCAAAUGAAUCUUGAUCUGGUAUUGUGGCCACAAUAUAUAGACUUGCAGAGAGCUAAAUGAUACUUUAUAUCUCAAAUUAUCUUAUAGUUAUUUAUGUCAUCAAAAAUUAUUGCUCCCUGUGAAUAUUGAUCUGGUGGCCUAAAUAUGUAGACCUGCAGGGAGCAGAAUGGUAGUUUAUUUGUGAGUUGACUACUGAAGCAGAUCUAACACUUCUCUUCAAUUGUUUUUGCAGUCUAUU